UACGUAGGGUGCGAGCGUUAAUCGGAAUUACUGGGCGUAAAGGGUGCGCAGGCGGUUAUAUAAGACAGAUGUGAAAUCCCCGGGCUCAACCUGGGAACUGCGUUUGUGACUGUAUGACUAGAGUACGGUAGAGGGGGUGGAAUUCCCGGUGUAGUGGUGAAAUGCGUAGAGAUCGGGAGGAACACCUGUGGCGAAGGCGGCCCCCUGGGCCGGCCCUGACACUGAGACGCGAAGGCGUGGGGAGCGAACGGG
rnacentral:rRNA from 1 species